rnacentral:rRNA from 1 species
CCUACGGGAGGCAGCAGUGAGGAAUAUUGGUCAAUGGGCGGGAGCCUGAACCAGCCAAGCCGCGUGAGGGAAGAAGGUACAGCGAAGUGUAAACCGCUUUUGUAAGGGAACAAAGGCGGGGACGAGUACCCGGAUGAGGGUACCGGAAGAAAAAGGAGCGGCUAACUCCGUGCCAGCAGCCGCGGUAAUACGGAGGAUGCGAGCGUUAUCCGGAUUUAUUGGGUUUAAAGGGUGCGUAGGCGGUGGGAUAAGUUAGAGGUGAAAUCUCUCGGCUUAACUUCGGAACUGCCUCUCAUACUGUUCGUCUAGAGCGUAGUUGCGGUAGGCGGAAUGUAUGGUGUAGCCGU